rnacentral:rRNA from 1 species
UUGAACGCUGGCGGCAGGCCUAACACAUGCAAGUCGAGCGGAUGAAGGGAGCUUGCUCCUGGAUUCAGCGGCGGACGGGUGAGUAAUGCCUAGGAAUCUGCCUGGUAGUGGGGGAUAACGUCCGGAAACGGGCGCUAAUACCGCAUACGUCCUGAGGGAGAAAGUGGGGGAUCUUCGGACCUCACGCUAUCAGAUGAGCCUAGGUCGGAUUAGCUAGUUGGUGGGGUAAAGGCCCACCAAGGCGACGAUCCGUAACUGGUCUGAGAGGAUGAUCAGUCACACUGGAACUGAGACACGGUCCAGACUCCUACGGGAGGCAGCAGUGGGGAAUAUUGGGCAAUGGGCGAAAGCCUGAUCCAGCCAUGCCGCGUGUGUGAAGAAGGUCUUCGGAUUGUAAAGCACUUUAAGUUGGGAGGAAGGGCAGUAAGUUAAUACCUUGCUGUUUUGACGUUACCAACAGAAUAAGCACCGGCUAACUUCGUG